UACGAAGGGAGCUAGCGUUGUUCGGAAUCACUGGGCGUAAAGCGCACGUAGGCGGAUGUGUCAGUCAGGGGUGAAAUCCCGGAGCUCAACUUCGGAACUGCCUUUGAUACAGCACGUCUUGAGUCCGAUAGAGGUGGGUGGAAUUCCUAGUGUAGAGGUGAAAUUCGUAGAUAUUAGGAAGAACACCGGUGGCGAAGGCGGCUAUCUGGCCCGUAAUUGACGCUGAGGCGCGGAAGCGUGGGGAGCAAACAGG
rnacentral:rRNA from 1 species